UGAGUUAUCUCAAUUGAUUGUUCACAGUCAGUACAGAUUGAACUCCUUGUUCUACUCUUUCCCCCCUUCUCACU
rnacentral:scRNA from 1 species